AUUGAACGCUGGCGGCAUGCCUUACACAUGCAAGUCGAACGGUUCACUUCGGUGGAUAGUGGCGCACGGGUGCGUAACACGUAUGCAACCUACCUUACAUUGGGGGAUAGCCUUUCGAAAGGGAGAUUAAUACCGCAUAAGACAGUAACAUGGCAUCAUGUAGCUGUUAAAGAUUUAUCGAUGUAAGCUGGGCAUGCGUCCAAUUAGUUAGUUGGUGAGGUAAUGGCUCACCAAGACGAUGAUUGGUAGGGGAACUGAGAGGUCAAUCCCCCACACAGGCACUGAGAUACGGGCCAGACUCCUACGGGGGGCAGCAGUAGGGAAUAUUGGGAAAGGAACGCAAGUCUGACCCAGCCAUGCCGCGUGCAGGAAGAAGGCGUUCUGCGUUGUAAACUGCUUUUAUAUAGGAAGAAACGACCCUUGCGAGGGGCAUUGACGGUAUUAUAUGAAUAAGCACCGGCUAACUCCGUGCCAGCAGCCGCCGUAAAAC
rnacentral:rRNA from 1 species